AAUAUUAAAAUUUUGUUUAGGCGUCAGAAUUGUUAGAUAUGAAAAUAUUCCGGUAUGAUCAUAAAAAGAAAAAAAGAUUAACGAUUUGUUUGACCUAAAUUCUGAAAAAAUAAUUUUUACAUAAUUGAUUUUUAUUUGAAAAUUUAAUUUUGGUUAAAAACUGUAGAGCGUUUGGCUGAUUUAGAUGAGAAGAUAGUUUAUUGAAGUGAUUUUGUAAAGAAUUUUGACAAAAAAUUUUCAUGUUUGCAAAUAAUAAUUUUUUUUACUAAAUUUUAUUUUAAAAUAAUUUAAAAUUUGAAUCUAAAAUCAAAAUAAAAUUUAAAAUUUGAGUUUAAAAUUAAAAUCAGAUUUCAAGAAGCGGAUUUUAGCUGUUUCUGAUUUUGACCAUCGAAAAUCAAAAGACUGAUUCUAAAAAUCAAACUCAGAUUUUAAAAAUAAGGUUGCCAAUUGCUUUAUCAAGCCAAAAAUUAUUUUUGGGCCUACAAUCACUUUUCAAAAGUUAAGCCGAACACCCACUAAUUUUUCGCUCCUUAAACAAUUUUGGCAUCCAUAAUUUGACACGAUAGCAUAUAUUAUCUAUUCU
rnacentral:lncRNA from 1 species